rnacentral:snRNA from 1 species
GGAGAUUUGAUGGAUUUAGCUCUCUAAAUAGGCGUAUCCUUUCCCAUCACCCUUCGUUUGUAUCUUUUAUGAUGUUUUGCUUUCAGCUGAAGAGGAUGACCUUCCACAAAGAAGAAGGAUCAUUCUUUGAUCAAGGAUUUGUGAAGAACUCUGGUUUCUCACUAGAUCUCCCAAAUAAUUGUUCUUCCCACAUCUCCUAAAACUGGAUUUCAGUACCAAAUGCAGUAGUAGAUUGUGUACAGACAUAUGGGUGUGUGUGUGUGUGU